CCUGAGUAGGAGGCAGCAUGUGGCUGUGCUGGCGAGGGAGCAGAAGGUUGAACUGUGGCCCGGAGACAGGGUCAGACUAGCAGUUUACCUCCGCCUCUGUGCCUGCUAAAAUGAGCUAGUCAGUGCACUGGGGAUAUAAAGUCAAGACUCCACCCGUUCCCUAUGCUUGCCCACCCAUUCCCUAUGUGCACAGGAAAGGGACAAGCAGCCUGUGACAGAGCUGCUGGAGGCCAGUCUGCCUGAGACUGAAGGAAUUGUCUGACUGAAGGAAGAACAACGCAACUUUGUAUGAUCAGCUGGAGUGGUGCUUCUAAAGCUAGAUGUUGUGGAAAUUUGGAUGUUGAAGGACUGAGUUUCUCUGAGUCCAGAAAAUCUUUCACAUGCAACAUGACACCACAAACCAGACAAACUCAGCAACAUAGAAGUCAUUCCAUCCAUGCACAAAGACAUUCUAUGUUUCAAAUGUAUAUGGACUAGCCUUCAAAAUCCACUUGUAAUUAGUUGAGCAAGUCUAUCAAAGGUUCAAGACUCAUCUCUGUUUCUCAUUUUGAUGCGGGCUCAAGAAAGCAAAACUUGAAGACUUAAACGUCAGACCCAAAGCAAACUAGCGCAGGCUCAAGGUCUGGAAUUUGCUUCAAGUUCUUCUCUAAAAAUGGUAAAGCUGAAUGGACUGUUACCAAAGAAACUGAAAGGAAGCUACUUAAGGAGAAGCUGAGGCAAGAGGAGGAAAGGGGGAGAACAGAUAACAAAAUUAAUUCUCUUCUAAGUGCAGAAUUAGAGGAGCUGAAGCAACCCUUGCAGAAUGCAAUAAGCAGAGAAAGCCAUGCUUGAGAAAGUAAAGAGAUUCUGAGUGAUGGCGUCCACCCAAGAAUUCUACAAGUACUGCAUAAGCAAAUCCAGAUAAAGACAUUUUUGAACAGCUACUCGACACACAAUUAACAGAAGGAACUGAAGUAGAGAAAGCGCACAUACAAUCCCAGAACAGAUGGAUUAUAAAUCUCUGAAACAGAAGGCUCCGCCUACAGAAGUUCCUAUCCAUCUUUAGAGAACUAGAGACAACAAAAUAACUAUAGCAACAUUUUAACGAUAGGGGGGUGUGCAUGUGUUUUCACUCACCUUCAGCAGAUUGUAAGUCACAAGACCAGCGGUGAGGGGCCUUAUUCUCCUUGGGCUUGAACCUGCAAGGUGCUGAGCUCUUUGGCUUUGAUCCAGCAAAGCACUUAAAACAUACACAUCCCAUUUUUAAUUGCAGCAGCUCAGCUAAAGAAACCAUUCAUCAUGCUCCACAGAGCCCAAGCAGCUCCAUGAGUUCAGCAGGAGUUGAGAGUUCUCAGGAUCAUGAAGGAUUGGGCUUUGAAAGAAGGAGUGGAAACAGGCUGUUUGUCCCCCAUCAGGACCAAGAAGUUGACUGGAAGUUUAAAGAGGCUGGAUCUUCACUAGAAAGAAGGAUGGUUAGGAGUGUAAAAGGGUGGAGAUGCAGAUUUGCAUGGGGAUGGAGGCAUAUCCAUAUGCCUGGGUUUACACUAUCUGGCAUGUUUUGUGGUAGAAUAGCACAUAUUUGCAUGGCAAGGAGGAGUUGAAGCAGAUAAGACACUACUGUAGACGCAGCAGUUGAGGAACCAAUAUGACAGGCUGGGGUUUCCAGGGCUAUAUAGCAUUUGCAUAGACAUCUUGUGAUGGGGGCAGAAACAGCAGGCAGUAGGACCCCUUUAAACUUAGUACAUGGACCAGAUCUCAGGGCCAGAUCUUCCAGUGCUCAGCGUCCUCAUCUGGAGGCAGAUUUUCAAAAGAGCUGAUCAGUCAACAUGAUGACCAGUUCUUCUGAAAAUCUGGCCCAAAGUACCAAACUACCAUUAUGCCUGUCCCUCAGGAGGUUCUGCUCAUGAUAGUGCCUUCCCCAAGUGAUUUAAACUACAAGCAUUUAGAGACCUCUCCCGCAUAAUCCAAAGUUUUACUAUCAGAAAACUGAAUACUGAUCAUAAUUACUCUGGCUCCAUAUGGCAGUCCCAGCUAGGACACAGCUAGAAUUCUCCCCCAUAGGGACUUUCAACCAACUGCCAAUAAUUUCCCAGACUCCCAGUACAAAUAAAUAAAUAAAACAGGAGAAAAAUGAAAAUGAAGAGGAUACUUGAAAUUGCAGAACUGAAUUCAGGACAUAUUUUAAAAAAGCACUGAGGAGAGCAUAGUCUGGCCAGUGACACUUCCCUGUCCUAUCCAUCUUUGAGCCGAGAACAGUAAUUCCUUGUUUGCAGCCUUCUCUGUUAGAGGCUAAAUGUGAUUGUAACUGAAGUACAUUGAUUAACCCAAAAUAACUUUCCCUCAAUUUGCUGGCUGCUCAGGAAGACUCAGGAGACCUGCUUUUGUUCUGAGCUAGUCAUUCAGGAGCCCUGGCUCCAGUCCUUAUGUAUCUAUUGAAACUGAGUGAACCAGAAAAACCCUAGAAACUACACGAAGGACACAUAGUGCUGUUUAGUUAGUUUAAAGCGAGGAUUUUUUUUCUGCAUCACUUCUGCAAUAUUUUUAAUGGUCUAGUUAAAAUAAUUUCAUGGUUGCAGUUUUUGUUUCUGUGCUUAGCAAAGCAAACUGUAGGGGUUACAGCUGAGAGAGGCAUGGGGGAAGGGAGGGGACAAUCUCUCCCUCGGCACAAAAAAAGUGCAGCAUUUUAUCAUGCUGCUUGCAAAAUGAUGUGUUUAAAGGGCAGAAUUGUCAAUGUCAGAUGCGAGGCUGAGGUACCUAUUAAUAAACAGCCUCUGCAUCAGAAA